GUGCUCACUUCAGUAACAUAUAUACUAAAGUUGGAAUGAUACAGAGAUUAGCAUGGCCCCUAAGCAAGUAUAACACACAAAUUUGUGAAAUGUUCCAUAUUUAA